rnacentral:rRNA from 1 species
CCUACGGGGAGCUGCAGUGAGGAAUAUUGGUCAAUGGACGAGAGUCUGAACCAGCCAAGUAGCGUGAAGGAUGACUGCCCUAUGGGUUGUAAACUUCUUUUAUAUGGGAAUAAAAUGUUCCACGUGUGGGAUUUUGUAUGUACCAUAUGAAUAAGGAUCGGCUAACUCCGUGCCAGCAGCCGCGGUAAUACGGAGGAUCCGAGCGUUAUCCGGAUUUAUUGGGUUUAAAGGGAGCGUAGGUGGAUUGUUAAGUCAGUUGUGAAAGUUUGCGGCUCAACCGUAAAAUUGCAGUUGAAACUGGCAGUCUUGAGUACAGUAGAGGUAGGCGGAAUUCGUGGUGUAGCGGUGAAAUGCUUAGAUAUCACGAAGAACUCCGAUUGCGAAGGCAGUUCACUAGACUGCAACUGACACUGAGGCUCGAAAGUGUGGGUAUCAAACAGGAUUAGAUACCCUUGUAGUC